AGGUCCUGCCGAGGUGCCCCUGACACCUGCCCCUCCACAGUGAGCCAGCACGCGGGGGUCCUCACGAACCACCUGGGCACCGGUGCCUCUUCCCCCACCUCCGAGUCGGACAACCACGCACUUUUAGACGAGAAAGAGGACUCCUACUUCUCUGAAAUCAGGAACUUCAUCGCCAACAGCGAGAUGAGCCAGGCAUCCUCGAGAACAGACAAGCGGCCAGAGAUCCAGGAGCUAGGCAGCAACCCCCAGUGUCCAGGCUUAGCCAGCGAGAAGCCAGAGGAUGUGGAGGAGGAGGAAGAGGAGGAGCUGGAAGAGGAGGACGAGGACAGCCUGGCCGGGAAGUCGCAGGACGACACGGUGUCCCCCACGCCCGAGCCCCAGGGAGUCUACGAGGACGAGGAGGACGAGGAGCCACCGGCCUCCCUGGCCGUGGGCUUUGACCACACCCGAAGGUGUCUUGAGGAGCCAGAGGGCGGCCUGUCAGCUUUGGAGCCGACGCCGGCCUUUGGGAAGGGGCCGGAUCUCCACAGAGCAGCUGAGGAAGCAUUUGAAGUUAAAGAUGUGCUUAAUUCCACCUUAGAUUCUGAGGCUUUAAAACAGACCCUGUACAGGCAGGCUAAGAACCAGGCAUACGCAAUGAUGCUGUCCCUCUCCGAGGAUGCUCCUCUCCACGCCCCCUCCCAGAGCUCGCUGGACGCUUGGUUGAACAUCGCGGGAGCCACGUCGGAGUCUGGAGCCUUUAACCCCAUCAACCACCUCUGAGGGGCCAGGAGGACCCAGGGCCAGAGUCCAAAGUCGGGGUGCCAGCUGCGCGGAAUGGCAGCGGGCCCCCGGAAGCCCCCGCCACCUGCACUGGAGCACUGCUCGGCGCCCAGCCCCCACCCUCCAAGUUCAAUUCUGACUUCUCCAGGGAAAACUUGGAACCCAACACUCCCCAAAGCAGCCGUGGCACACCUCCCUGCCUCUGAGGACCGGCCCUGGGAACAGCCUUCAGUCUCGGCGGGCGAGCACCAGCGACGCUCAGGCUGCUCUCGGAGAAGAGCGUGGCGGGUGAGGGUGGGAUCUCAAGCCCGGAUGGGAGCCCUGGGCUGCUUCUGGGAGCCUGCGUGGCACCGGAGAGUGCACAGAGGACGCAGGUGUGCCCGGAGGAGACACAGGCGCAGUUUUUAUAAUGAAAAUGACCAGAAUGACCCUUUUGGUAAUCUUAUUGACUACAGAGUCUAUUUAAGCAUGUGGGUUUUA
rnacentral:lncRNA from 1 species